CGGGGUGCUGCACCAGUGAGGAAUAUUGCACAAUGGGGGGAACCCUGAUGCAGCAACGCCGCGUGGAGGAUGACGCAUUUCGGUGUGUAAACUCCUUUUAUAUGUCAAGAAAAUGACGGUAGCAUAUGAAUAAGCACCGGCUAACUCCGUGCCAGCAGCCGCGGUAAUACGGAGGGUGCAAGCGUUACUCGGAAUCACUGGGCGUAAAGGACGCGUAGGCGGGUUGGAAAGUCAGGUGUGAAAUCCUACAGCUUAACUGUAGAACUGCACUUGAAACUUCUAAUCUAGAGUAUGGGAGGGGGAGAUGGAAUUAGUGGUGUAGGGGUAAAAUCCGUAGAUAUCACUAGGAAUACCUAAAGCGAAGGCGAUCUCCUGGAACAUUACUGACGCUAAGGCGUGAAAGCGUGGGGAGCAAACAGGAUUAGAUACCCGUGUAGUC
rnacentral:rRNA from 1 species